GAUGAACGCUGGCGGCGUGCUUAACACAUGCAAGUCGAACGGAGAAGCAGGAGCUUGCUCCUGUGGAUCAGUGGCGAACGGGUGAGUAACACGUGAGCAAUCUGCCCUGGACUCUGGGAUAAGCGUUGGAAACGACGUCUAAUACCGGAUACGAGGCGUGGGGGCAUCCCCAACGCCUGGAAAGAACUUCGGUCCAGGAUGAGCUCGCGGCCUAUCAGGUAGUUGGUGAGGUAACGGCUCACCAAGCCGACGACGGGUAGCCGGCCUGAGAGGGUGACCGGCCACACUGGGACUGAGACACGGCCCAGACUCCUACGGGAGGCAGCAGUGGGGAAGAUUGCACAAUGGGGGCAAGCCUGAGGCAGCAACGCCGCGUGAGGGACGACGGCCUUCGGGUUGUAAACCUCUUUUAGCAGGGAAGAAGCGAAAGUGACGGUACCUGCAGAAAAAGCACCGGCUAACUACGUGCCAGCAGCCGCCGUAAUAC
rnacentral:rRNA from 1 species